AUACGUAGGGGGCGAGCGUUGUCCGGAAUUACUGGGCGUAAAGGGUGCGUAGGUGGCACUUUAAGUUGGAUGUGAAAUCCCCGUGCUUAACAUGGGAGCUGCAUCCAAUACUGGAGAGCUAGAGUGCAGGAGAGGUAAGCGGAACUCCUAGUGUAGCGGUGAAAUGCUUAGAUAUCAUGAAGAACUCCGAUUGCGAAGGCAGGCCGCUGGGGCACGUCUGACGCUGAUGCUCGAAGGUGCGGGAAGCAAACAGGAUUAGAGGCCCUGGUAGUCCGCACGGUAAACGAUGAUUGCCCGCUGUCGGCGGCAGACAGGCGGCGGCCAAGCGAAAGCGAUAAGUAAUCCACCUGGGGAGUACGCCUGCAACGGUGAAACUCAAAGGAAUUGGCGGGG
rnacentral:rRNA from 1 species